CUGUUCCUGCCAUUUUAAACAUUACAUCUUUUGUUUCCCUCUUUUAUGGCAUUAGGCAGACCCACCCAGUUUAGUGUUGAAUAGGACUGGUGACUGGGGACAUCCUUGUGUUCUCCAGGAUUAGAAAUGGAAAAUUUUCAACAUUUUACCAUGAUGUUCAGUGUACAUUUUUGGUAGAUACACUCUAUCAGAGUAAAGUCCUUCUAGUCUAUUUCUGAGUUGCUGGCAGUAUUCAUCUGAAUAUAUGUUGAAUGUUAGCAAACACAUAGGGAUUUAUUGAGAUGAUCCUAAGAUUUCUUUCCUCUCUUAAUGUGAAUUGCGUUGGCAAGUUUCCCUGUUUAAGCAACUUUGCAUUCCUAGGGCAAAGAACGUGACCAUGGGUGAUCUAUGUCGUAGUGAUUUGUUCAGGAUUUCAACGUAUGUCCUCACGAGUGACACUAGACUGGUUUUUUUAAUGUUUAUAUACUCUGUUGGACUUUGGUAUCAAGCUUAUGCCGGUUUCAUAAAAUGAAUUGGGAUGUAAAAUGUGUUUUUCUAUUUUCUGGAACAUUGAGGUGGUCCGGCUUUUGCUCUGUCUCCGCAGGCAUGGCCAUUGUCUUUCUUGGUGGGCUGUGUGGGUGAGAGGGAAGAUCGGGUGUCUUGGAGCACGAGGGGAGGUAUCUAUGUCCUGGAGGCGCUAAGAAUUGCGGACAGAGGGCGGAUUAAGAAUAGUCAGUGCUGCGGCGACGGGGGAGUGGGGAAGCCUCCCCGCCCCGCCACCGACACCUGGAGCACGCGGUUUUCAGUGCGCCUGCGCAGUAGCAAGUUCUUUUAAAUCCGCCGCCAUUGGCGUGGGAUUCGUGUUGUGCGGUCUGGGGUGCGGAACGGUGCAGGUCGCCUCUUGCCGUCUGGAUUCGUUCUUGCUGUGUGAGACGCAAUUGUGCGAAAUAUGAAUCGGCAAGUAAGGUCAACAUUCAGACCUAGAGCAAGACGAGAUGAUGAAAUACCUUUGCAGCUAGUUGGGCCUGUGUUUGCCCAGCUGCCUCGUGGUGAGCAACCUCAAGGGGAGGAGCCACCGACUGAGAGUCCGGAUAUUAUACCUGAUGGAGAGAAAAAAGAAGGAGCAUCUGUGGUUCAAGGGUCUGCCCCGGAACCUAAUCCAAAGGACCUGGCUGGUGAAAAGACUGGGCGUGAGCGGGGAGAUGGUCCUGAUAUCAAACGGAGGUGACUUGCAAAUCUAGAGCCCCUUAAGAUGCCAGAGGCAGGUGAAGGGAAACCACAGGUUUAAACGAAGACAAGCUGAAGCCACGUGGGCAGUUCUUGUGUUGAAAAAGUGGCUAACAUUCUCUCAGGAAAGUUUGGUUCUUGUGUUGAAAAGUGGCUAAAAUUCUCUCAAUAAACUUUUGUUCUUGUGUUGAAAAGUG